rnacentral:misc_RNA from 1 species
GUAUUUUGUUGCAAAUAAAUGCAUUAACGUUCUUAAGACUUAACUAGUGUGUAAAUUAUCGAGGCAUUUCUGCCUCGCAAGAGUGCACAUGGGGUGAAAUGAGAUAUAAGAGCGUGCACAUGCUUCGAUAAAGCCAGCACAACUCUUUAUAAACUCGAUAAUGAUCCUUCCGCAGGUUCACCUACGGAAA